CAGGCCUUGACAUCCAAUGAACUUCCCAGAGAUGGAUUGGUGCCUUCGGGACAGGGGAGACAGGUGGUGCAUGGUUGUCGUCAGCUCGUGUCGUGAGAUGUUGGGUUAAGUCCCGCAACGAGCGCAACCCUUGUCCUUAGUUACCAGCACGUAAUGGUGGGCACUCUAAGGAGACUGCCGGUGACAAACCGGAGGAAGGUGGGGAUGACGUCAAGUCAUCAUGGCCCUUACGGCCUGGGCUACACACGUGCUACAAUGGUCGGUACAGAGGGUUGCCAAGCCGCGAGGUGGAGCUAAUCCCACAAAACCGAUCGUAGUCCGGAUCGCAGUCUGCAACUCGACUGCGUGAAGUCGGAAUCGCUAGUAAUCGCGAAUCAGAAUGUCGCGGUGAAUACGUUCCC
rnacentral:rRNA from 1 species